rnacentral:rRNA from 1 species
GAUGAACGCUGGCGGCGUGCUUAACACAUGCAAGUCGAACGAAGCACUUUAGACAGAAGCCUUCGGGCGGAAGACUUUGGUGACUUAGUGGCGGACGGGUGAGUAACGCGUGGGUAACCUGCCUCACACAGGGGGAUAACAGUUGGAAACGGCUGCUAAUACCGCAUAAGCGCACAGUACCGCAUGGUACGGUGUGAAAAACUCCGGUGGUGUGAGAUGGACCCGCGUCUGAUUAGCCAGUUGGCGGGGUAACGGCCCACCAAAGCGACGAUCAGUAGCCGGCCUGGGAGGGUGAACGGCCACAUUGGGACUGAGACACGGCCCGAAACUCCUACGGGAGGCAGCAGUGGGGAAUAUUGCACAAUGGGGGGAAACCCUGAUGCAGCGACGCCGCGUGAGUGAAGAAGGUAAUUUCGGUAUGUAAAGCUC